CCUACGGGUGGCAGCAGUGGGGGAUAUUGCACAAUGGGGGAAACCCUGAUGCAGCGACGCCGCGUGAAGGAAGAAGGAUUUCGGUAUGUAAACUUCUAUCAGCAGGGAAGAAAAUGACGGUACCUGACUGAGAAGCCCCGGCUAACUACGUGCCAGCAGCCGCGGUAAUACGUAGGGGGCCAGCGUUAUCCGGAUUUACUGGGUGAAAAGGGAGCGUAGGCGGGGAUGCAGUCAGAAGUGAAAGCCCGAGGGCCAACUCCGGGAUUGCUUUUGAAACUGUGUCGCUAGAGUGCAGGAGAGGUAAGUGGAAUUCCUAGUGUAGCGGUGAAAUGCGUAGAUAUUAGGAGGAACACCAGUGGCGAAGGCGGCUUACUGGACUGUAAAUGACGCUGAGGCUCGAAAGCGUGGGGAGCAAACAGGAUUAGAUACCCCGGUAGUC
rnacentral:rRNA from 1 species